CAGAUUGUUAAAAUUGUCUUAAACCUAAACCUAACUCUAAUAUCACAGUUUAUGAUCACAGAUUGGUUGAAUAGGUAGAAAUACCAGACUAAUGUUUGAGGUUUAACAUCGAAUUAUAUUUACGUUGCAAUUGAUUAAACUAAUCUACAAUCCGUAAAUCGACUUAAUGCGCCAGUGGAUUGGAUACUUGCAUUCAUUCUAGAAGUUGAUAGAUCACCGUAGUGAAUCUACUGCCAGCCAGGGGCCACGUGAAAGAACACUAACUUUUGUAAGUUAAAAUUAAAUAAUUAAAAAUCUAAUAAAAUACCUAAAAGUAUAUUUACAGCUUCAAGCUGCUGAACACAGUUGCU